rnacentral:lncRNA from 10 species
CAGAAUGUCUUCCUUUCUGAAUUAUGUAUUUAGAUAAACUUAUCCAACAACUUCAGAGCAACAUUGUGUUCCUGUCCUCCCAUCUGUAUGUAAGAGUAAAAACUAAGAGGGCUUCUUCAGUCUGACGAUUGAUGGCUUACAACAAUUUUGGGAAAUCCUCAGCUAAUAACACACAUAGUAUCAUUUUUUCCUGUUUAUCCCUGUCCUCUGUCUCUGGAACUCCAGUUGCUAAUUAAAACUUCUGCAUAGGUCGCUUCCAAGAUGGACGAAUAGGAACAACUCCAACCUACAGCUCCCAGCGAGAUUGAUGCAGAAGAUGGGCGAUUUCUGCAUUUCCAACUGAGGUCUCUGAAGAAUCUCCAUACCAUCUUCCACAAUUGUUGAACUAAUUUACACUUCCAGUAACAAUGUGACCAACAACACAUGGAAGCUGCCAAGGCUUGGGGUUUACACCCUCUGAAGCAAUGGCCUGAGCUGCACCUUGGACCU